GGGCGAUUUGGAAGGCGAUUGAAAUCGGAGUCCAAUUUCUGCAAUUGGAAGCCGAAAUUGUCCUCGUCUCCGGCAUAGAAAUCUUCCUGAGAAAGCAGAACCCAAUCCUCCGCCGAUAUCAGACCAUGUACAUCGGUGAGCUGAAGCAUAAGGAGUGAAGAAGCACCAACUUCAUUGACAUUAAAAGUUGAAUCAUAGAUGGGCCAUGACUACAGCUAUUCUCAGCCUGAUUCCAGACCAGAAUGAUAUGCAUGACGACAGUGAAGACAAGGAAAGAGAAGCCUUGAUACUUAUGGAUGAAGGUGAGAGUAGCUUGAUCAGUGCUCAUGCUAUUCUCAUGGAUGAAGCUGAGAGUAACUUCCUCCAAGCUUAGGCCAGUCAAUACCCUCCUCAACCUGAGGUUGAGUUUAGAUUUCCAAAAGUGUGCUACUGUAGUGGGAGGCCGCUUCUAACUACUUGCAGUAACAAGAAUGAUACAGAAAGAAGGUUCUUCACAUGUCAUAAUGUUGAAGAUGGAGAGAUGUAUAUUCACAAGUGGUGGGAUGAGGCUGUAAUGGAGGAGAUGAGAGACAUGGACAGACAUUAUGAGGUGUUAUCUGAGAAGGUAGAUGGAUUAAACUACCUCACUGACUAUGAAACUGAGAAGAAACUACUUCACUUAGAAAUGUUAGUGUGUGAUCUAGGUAAGAAAAAUCUAAUGUUUAGAAAUGGAUCUGAGUUGGUUGUUGGUAUAAUAGCUGUUGUUGCAAUUGUAUUAGCUUUGUUGGUAAUGUUUAAGUAAAACAGCUUGCAUUUCAGACUUGUAAUAACAUUGUUGUUCACGGGUAUGUCUCUGUUUGUAUUGACUCGA